rnacentral:lncRNA from 1 species
GUAAAAUCGAGCUGCAGACAUAGAUGCAGGCAGUUGUGCCAAUCAUGUUCAAAAUGGCGGCUCCAUCUUCCCUUCUCUGCCAGCCACGUGCACAGUAAGGAGCAGACAAGAUGGUGCUGGCCAAGGGGAAAGUUCAUUUGCAUAAUAAGAUUAGAGUGGGGAGGUCAGCCUUCCCCACACCCCAGCGCUAUGUAAACAUCAUACCUGACUGAACCAAUCUGUGAGCCCUAUGUAAAUCAGACACCACCUCCUCAAGCCUGACUAUAAAAUCCAGUGCAUCUGCUGCCGGUGGCGUUUUCCUUUCAGAAGUACCCUCUCUCUCACUGGAGAGAGCUGUUUUCCUCUCUCUCUUUCUUUUGCCUAUUAACCCUCUGCUCCUAAAAAUUAAAAAAAUAAUAAA